GACGCGUGAAAUUCGCGGAAAAAUUUCACAACUCUAUUUAUACAAACGAAAAUGAUAAACCCCCUGAAGAAGGAAUGAAAGGAAUGAAGGAAUGAAAAAAAUACAGAGAGAGGAACUUAACCAGUCAGCCGUUGUAAUCUCUUCGAAAAGCGUGCUAAAAUACGCAAGGCCACGGUCUCUGCACAACAAACUCGCAAGAAGAGGAAAUUUCAUAGUUAUCGCAAGUACAUCGUAGGAUACAUCGAUCGUAAAAGUAUCGCCGUAACAGUAACAAGUUCCUCGAAGUAGUUGGAAAUUACAAGGAUUGUCCACUGUAUAACAAAAUCGGCAAAAACGUAAAAAUUCCCAAUACCGUCAAAGAAUGCUUGGGCAACUACAAACACA